UUACGGCCACAUCACGCUGCAACACAGUUUCCCGUGCGAUCAGCGAAGUUAAGCAAAGUCGUGCCUACUCAGUACCUCGAUGGGUGACAUUUUAGGAAUA